GAUGUGGCUUCCUACUGGUCUCGCAGUUGGGUACAGUGAGGCUCCUGUCUCAUUUGCGAGAUCAAUUGGAUGGCGACGACGCGGCAACAAUGGCUUCUUUUUAGAGACGUGAAUGGGUCACUGAUUAAAUUGACGUUGUUUGGGGAAAGCCCAGCAGGCCGACAGAUGCACCCGCCACAUCAACCAAUCACGCUAAUCAGAGUCUCCAGAAAGGCACGGGGCCCCCUUGAUGACGCCCGACCCUGGCAGCAUUCUCUUAACCAGCUGCGACAACAAUGAAUGAUAUCUCUUGAUGUCGAGAUUCAAAACUGGAAGGUCUGACCUAUCUGGUGCAUAUUGUUAGGAUCCAGCUCAAGAUAAAAAAAAUAAUUUCUAAUUUAAUUUGCAGCAUAUUGGUGGAAAACCUCAUAGUGCGGGUGUUUUAAAAAAAACAAGUAUUUUUCUAAAGGCAGAAUUUUCAAUACACUGGACAGAUCAGAGAGCUCAUUAGUGUCCCUAAUGAAGUGUCCGGUGAUCAAGCUUUUUACUGCACCACUUCCCAGCUUGUUCCUAUGUCCAAACAUUUUAUUAGUUUCACUUCAACUCCCCUGUGGGGGUUCUCCAGUUGACACUGGCUCGACCCUGAGAAUUUCCUGGAUUCCUGGCUGUUGGGGAGUUUUCCCGCUUUUGUGUGUCAUGGCUUCUUUAUCCUGACGGGACUGCUUGUCUUCUCGUCAGGAAGGAAAGUGACCAACUGAGUGACGUCCAUGCUGAUUCAUGGAUGGGCCUGUCUCAAACAGGACCUUGGAGUAAAGCUACAGGAACACUACGUGACAAAAUACGGUCGUGUCGCUCGGUGUGCGUGACAUUUUGAUCUUCAGAUUCCAGGGAAAAUAAAUUUUAGCAUUAAAAAAAUCGAUGUGCGUGAUUUUUUGAUCUUCAGAUUCCAGUGAAAAUAAAUUUCAGCAUUUAAUAAUUUUUUAAUUCGACAAAUUCUACUUUGCACGGGAUAUACUCAUUUUAUCACAUUUUAUUUGGGCCUGAAUGACCCAAACAUCUACAAGGACACGUUUGUUUGUAUUUUCUACUCUUGCAAAAGAUCAGACAAACAAGUUUCUGUUUGUGAAAGAGGUUUUAUAGCCUAUUAUUAUCACACACCUCUCUUAAUUACUAGUCACGUUUCCUGUACAGAGGAAAAAAAAAAAUGCGGCAAUAUGAAAUAAAGCUUUAAAACUAGCUGAGCGUUGUGCGAGGAAUGUAUCUCGGAUGAAGCUAUAAAGUAAAGACGAGGACAGGAAAUCCUGUGUGCCCGCUCUUGAUCUCAUCACGCGGCAAUUUUUAUGAAGCACUCCGCAUUCCAACCAGGGUACGAUGGCACCUUGAUGCGCAGAUGCACAGGCACGCGUUUGCUUUCAAGCAGUUUCGGAUGGCGCGAGGCGAGGGAGCUUUGAAACGUAUACACCCACAGAGACGCUGGCCCACGGCCCAGCUGGAGAUCUAACGAGAAUGAGAGGCACAGCGAGCGUCUGGCAUCAUCGCCGUCGCGCUACUUUAGACAACUCUCCGUCUGGCCCCCGCCGCUGCCUGCUCACCUUGACCGGAUGGCUCGGCGGGCAGACGCUUUUGGGACCGCUCCAAAACAUCUGACACGUUAGACCGAGAAAUAGAUACACAUACUUGGGCCGGAAGGUGAAACUUGAGUCACGGCGAAAAUUCAAAGUAGCCCAGCAGACAUCAAAAUUUGAUGUCAGAUAUUUCCCAUUGUUAAUACUUCAUAUGCAUGGUGUUUUUUCUGGUGCAGGCGCACAAGUGAGGACACGGAUAUUUAAGCUGAGUUCUUUUCAAUGUGUCGACCAGACAGGUGAGGUGAGCUAUGCUUAAUCCCCAUCCAGCCGUUUCAGGACAUGAAGGGCUGUUGGCAGUCUGUCAGUGUGCCGUGCUCCGAGCUUAAAAGGCUUGCUUGGACUAAAAAAGAACCAAGUUAUGAUGUGGCGCAUGACCGCCAUUGCAGGAGGGCACACUUUAAGGGAAGCAAUCGGAAAGUGUCAAAGAUAUUUCGUAAAAGUGACCCAACGUCAUGUCGGACUUGCGUGCGCUAAAUAAAAGGCGGUAUGGGUUGCACUUUAAUUCAUUUUACUUUUAAAUGUGACCGGCCUCAAGAGUAACUAGGAUUUACGGGUUAAUUGAAAAUAAAUCAUGUAAAUGAUUUUAAUUGUAUUUUUUGGUUAGUUAAAACCAUAUUUCAACAAUCUGCCUUUGUGUAAGACUCUACCUUUAAGUACUGUUGAAAAAUGGCUUCUGAUAACAAAUAAUAUUCCAUUUCAGAAGGCAUGUCCAUUUUUAGAAUUUAUUUCCUACAAUAAACAUAUUGCGUAUUUGCUAGAACAAUCCCAAUUAAAUUAAAGGCGUGUACAAGUUA